rnacentral:rRNA from 1 species
UGGUUGGGAACUUGGCCUAACGAGGGGGAUAACAGUUGGAAACGGCUGCUAAUACCGCAUGAAAUCUGUUCUGAAAGGGAUGGAUCAAAGAGGGGGACCGCAAGGCCUCUCGCGUUGGGAUAGGCCCAAUUGGGAUUAGCUAGUUGGUGAGGUAAUGGCUCACCAAGGCGACGAUCUCUAGCUGGUUUGAGAGGAUGAUCAGCCACACUGGAACUGAGACACGGUCCAGACUCCUACGGGAGGCAGCAGUGGGGAAUAUUGCACAAUGGGGGCAACCCUGAUGCAGCCAUGCCGCGUGUA